UGCACCAGCGCCAGUGAAGCAGCUCGCGCUCUCUGCAAAGUUCUCGUGCUGUUUCCUACUGUCAGUCCUCCCCGCUGCACCAUGCGUCUCCUCCCGAAGACACUAUGGGAUGUACCCGCUCUGAGAAGACACUAACCCCGGGCUUUGCUGCUGCCUGUGUCCGCUCUCUGCUCUCCUUCUGCCGGGGAAACCCUGCCGCGCUACUCUGAGCGUUUUCAUCCACACCGCGCCGCUUUUCCUUUUUAAUUUAUUUGUUGCCUGCCGCUUCAUUUAUGGACCACAGAAGCUCCGAGUAGAGUGUUUGUCAUUUUCGUUCACACUGCUGAAGAUGGAGUCGGUGAUGGAGAGGGAGUGCAGCGCGCUGGGGGGGCUUUUCCAGACUGUCAUAGGAGACAUGAAGGGCUGUUAUCCUGUCUGGGAUGAGUUCAUCAG